GAAUGUACAGUAUGUGGCAGAUUUAUAUUCAGGGGGUAUAGUAUGUGUUGGUAUUCUAUUCAGAAUGUACAGUGUGUGGUAGUAUUAUAUUCAGUGGGUAUGGUGUAUGGAAGGUUUAUAAUCAAAGAGUAUAGUGUAUAGUAGUAUUAUAUUUAGAGGAUACAGUGUGUCAGGUUUAUAAUAAUACUUGUUUUCAUAUAGAGGAUGAGAAUGCGCUGACAUAGUGAGGACACGUCUGGGCGUCACAUUCUACAGAGAGAAGUUUUAGCUGGACCAGGCGCUAUUCAGGAGAAGAUUAGAUAUGGAAUAAAUGAGCAGUUUAUGCAGAAUAUGUUCCAAUUGGUUUAAAUGCAAACCAACCAAGAGAUCCUCCCAUCCCCAAGAAGUGACCCUCUGUCCAUCACGGAUCAUAAGGAUGGCACUCAGAGAGAAAACCUCAGAAAGAGACCGCAAAUGCAACGUGUACAGAGCCAAACCCUCACUAAUGGACAAGCACGUCAUCUUAGACUAUGCAUCAGGCAUUAGAGGAUGGGGCACACCCUGUACCACCUCCCAGACUCACUGGUGUGAGAACAAAGAACAAAAGGAAAAUUGGUGUAAAAGUGUAUAGUUACUUUAGACUAAGUUGUAACUUCUAGGCAGAAUUGUUUUA